AUUGAACGCUGGCGGCAUGCCUAACACAUGCAAGUCGAACGAGUGGCGGACGGGCGAGCAAUAUCUUGGAAACUGCCUGAUGGAGGGGGAUAACUACUGGAAACGGUAGCUAAUACCGCAUACCAUCUGAUGUGCCCAGAUGGGAUUAGCUAGUAGGUGGGGUAAAGGCUCACCUAGGCGACGCUCCCUAGCUGGUCUGAGAGGAUUACCGGCCACAUGUGAACGGAGACACGGUCCAGACUACUACGGGAGGCAGCAGUGGGGAAUAUUGCACAAUGGGCGCAAGCCUGAUGCAGCCAUGCCGCGUGUAUGAAGAAGGCCUUCGGGUUGUAAAGUACUUUCAGCGGGGAGGCGUUACCCGCAGAAGAAGCACCGGCUAACUCCGUGCCAGCAGCCGCGGUAAUAC
rnacentral:rRNA from 1 species